rnacentral:rRNA from 1 species
UACAGAGGAUGCAAGCGUUAUCCGGAAUGAUUGGGCGUAAAGCGUCUGUAGGUAGCUUUUUAAGUCCGCCGUCAAAUCCCAGGGCUCAACUCUGGACAGGCGGUGGAAACUACCAAGCUGGAGUACGGUAGGGGCAGAGGGAAUUUCCGGUGGAGCGGGUGAAAGUGACGUAGAGAUCGGAAAGAACACCAACGGCGAAAGCACUCGUGCUGGGCCGACACUGACACUGAGAGACGAAAGCUAGGGGAGCGAAUGGGA